rnacentral:rRNA from 1 species
AACGAACGCUGGCGGCAUGCCUAACACAUGCAAGUCGAACGAUGCUUUCGGGCAUAGUGGCGCACGGGUGCGUAACGCGUGGGAAUCUGCCCUUUGGUUCGGAAUAACAGCGAGAAAUUGCUGCUAAUACCGGAUGAUGACGUUAAGUCCAAAGAUUUAUCGCCAGAGGAUGAGCCCGCGUAGGAUUAGCUGGUUGGUGUGGUAAAGGCGCACCAAGGCGACGAUCCUUAGCUGGUCUGAGAGGAUGAUCAGCCACACUGGGACUGAGACACGGCCCAGACUCCUACGGGAGGCAGCAGUGGGGAAUAUUGGACGAUGGGCGCAAGCCUGAUCCAGCAAUGCCGCGUGAGUGAUGAAGGCCUUAGGGUUGUAAAGCUCUUUUACCCGUGAUGAUAAUGACAGUAGCGGGAGAAUAAGCCCCGGCUAACUCCGUGCCAGCCGCCGCAGUAA